GUUCGGUCGAGUCUCGAGAGAGGUUUCGAUCCUGGACUCACGGACGAACGCUGGCGGCGUGCUUAACACAUGCAAAGUCGAACGAGUACCCUCGAAAGAGAUUUCGGUCAAUGGAGAGGACUACUUAGUGGCGGACGGGUGAGUAACGCGUGAGGAACCUGCCUUUCAGAGGGGGACAACAGUUGGAAACGACUGCUAAUACCGCAUAACGUACGGGUAUCGCAUGGUACUGGUACCAAAGAUUUAUCGCUGAGAGAUGGCCUCGCGUCUGAUUAGCUAGUUGGUAGGUAACGGCCUACCAAGGCGACGAUCAGUAGCCGGACUGAGAGGUUGGCCGGCCACAUUGGGACUGAGAUACGGCCCAGACUCCUACGGGAGGCAGCAGUGGGGAAUAUUGGGCAAUGGACGCAAGCCUGACCCAGCAACGCCGCGUGAAGGAAGAAGGCUUUCGGGUUGUAAACUUCUUUUGACAGGGAAGAGCAGAAGACGGUACCUGUCGAAUAAGCCACGGCUAACUACGUG
rnacentral:rRNA from 1 species